CAUACAUCCUUGCUGUUAAACCUCGAAAUAGCUCCCUGACAGUGACUUAUUUUUUCCUAAAUGUACAUGACAUCUCCCAAUAUAAAUAUGAAUUUUUGCUUUUCACAGAAGGUGUGUUUCACCAAAAUAUUACAUCUGAUCUUUCAAAUUAAUGAGCUAAAGGUAAUGAAUAAAGGCGGGGGCGGGGGGGGGCUGGGAGAAGUCUGGUAGCAGAUCAGGACGUCUGCUUGCUCCAGAAGACACCAGACGCUGUUACACAGGCUCACUGACAGUUGUAAUCAGUUAGAUUUGCAACGGUUAGUCAUGUCAGAUAGUCAGAACUGCAAACUGUUACAAGACAGGAAAAGGUGGGUGUGAAACAGUGACUCAAUAAAACAUUCAGCAAUCUCAGGCCAGAGCAUUCAUUUAGCCUGCUCCUGUAACAGACCUUUAAAAAGCUCAUUUUGUUUUGCUUUGUUUUUUGGUCAGAGACUGCCUUUCCCUUUACUGAAAGCUGAGGAUAUUAAAUCAAAACACAAAUCUUAAACAAUAUGUAGCGAUGCAAAGUUUAAUGCAAUCUUUUCAAAGCUUAAUAUGGAACAGGUUAUAUACAAGGCUUAAUGUAGAACAGGUCUUUGGCUGUCAAGUCUAGUGAAUGGGUUUUCUUUUCAACUCAGACCAUGUAAGUUCCUAAAAUAUGUUUAAGACACACAUCAUUUGUUACUCAGUAUAUAUAGCUUUAAGUCUCUUUGGCUAUGCUUAUCCAUGGCCAAGAGAAAAAAAAGGACAGUAAAGACAGGAAGGGGAGUGGGGCAGAGAAAGAUGAAUACUGAUUAGAAACCUAUUAAGUGCCAGCCGUUUGUACACAUUAUCUCAUUUAAUCCUACCCAGUUAGGUUUAUCACUCCCAUUUUACAAAUGAGGAAAUUGAAACCCAGAGAGGUUUAGUAACUUAACCACACAACUAAUAAAAGGAAAAAAAUCAGGAUCUGAACUCAGUCAGGUAUUCCAGACCCCAAAAUUAAUGCCCUUCUUUUUAACUUUGUCAGAGAACAUUUAAAAAAAUUAAUAGGUAAUUUAUUUCAACACGUGUCCCAAUCAGCUUUAUAAGACUAAGAAACAGUAAAUAUAAAUCUACUAACAUAGUAUCUGGGCCAGGAUGACAAAAGCAUCUAUUCUUAAAGUGUCAUUGAUAAAUCAUAUCUAAUCCAUUACAUAUUUAAUGUUACAUGGUUUUAAGUAAUUUCAUUGUCUGGUUAGGAAGCAGAGGACUUAUUAGAAACAUUAAGACUAACCAGAAAGAUAAGGCAACCAGGAGUCUAAACUAGUUACAGAAAACUGAAAGUCUAUAGAAAUGGAGACUAGAAAGUUGAAUAGGAAGCCACUGGAUCCAGAUCAGGACCUCAAAACAAUGGAAAGAUCUGAAGGAGUGAACGGGCUGAAUCGCUAGACUGAAAGGUAAUUUACAUUAAACCAUAAAGAGAUGCCAUUCUGGGCUGGAUCAACGGUCCGGGAGCCAGGACUCCAAGGGCAGCGCGUGGACGGCAGCUGUCAUCCAAGGCGCUAAUCAUAAUACACGAAGGAUGGAAAUACCUCAGUGGUCCUUAAUGACCUUAAAUAACCUGGCAGAGAUACUACCCAUGAAUUUAUCUAAACUGCUUCUGAGAAUAUUUCUAUUUUGAGACUUUUACACCUUACUUACGAUAUUAGAAGUCACCAAUGCUUCUCCCCAAUUAAGAGCAGCACCUCGUGUAGGAACGAAAGCCAAAUGUAAAACUUACCUUAUAAGCCUAAAGCAUCUAAAUACUCAAAGUGCAACCAGUUUUCUAUAAAGGCUUCUUUUAAAAAGAGGUGGGUUUUGGGGGGAGGAAGCAAGUAUUUAAGUAUGAGUACAGUCUUCCAAAGUCAAACCCUAAGGAUCAAGAUGUACUUUAACAAUGAAAACAAAAAUCAAGGAGGUUCCUUCCACUUCUUACUGACCCUUCACAAGGAACAGGAAAAUAAUGUUCAAGAAACUUCCAGAAACUACCACCCAACUAGGUAAUUGGUUCUUCAUCUUAUAAAUAAGUAUACAUUUCCUAAGUCAAAUAUUUAUGUGAAUAUUCAUGAUUUCCUUACAUUAAAAAAAAACUUUUCCAAAUCUCCUUGUUUAUCACUUUCCGUAAGUGGUAAAAACGCAAGCUCCUACUUAAAAAUGCAGGGUCUUACUUGGGGAGCAGGCACUCGUUAGACAACUAAGGGUGUCAUCCUUGGCUUCAUCCAGGACCUAGUUCUACAAUCCGUCCUCAAGUCGUAUAUUUUCUGAGAUAAACAUAGGAACUGUCAUUGAAAGACAAUUCCAACUCAGCCUGAGGGAGUGUCAGGAAUAGUCAGGAGGGGUAAGACUGUGAGCGGGGGUUGUAUCCUAAACUGAUAAAGUACCAUGCUCUGUACACUGCAGGUGCUUAAAAACGCUUGUAAAUUCAAAGCAGCAAGCUUGACGUCAAGAAUGAGGAAGCACGGGAAGAAAACCUAAGGACCAAAGUCAUUUUAAAUACUUCUGUUUAAAAUAUAAAGGAGAAAAAGGGAAAAGACAAUUAAAAAACAUAAGCCACUCCUAACUUAAUGCCAGUUUCACUGAUGCCCUACUUUUACUCUAAAGCACUUCCAAAAGUCACAGUUGUCAGAUGACCCAUCAUGCCAAACUCCCCCCACCCCCAAUCUAAGUCUCGAAGACAAGUCUGGACCAAUUUCUCCAUCCCGCCUCUGGCAGCAGACUGUAGCAUUUCAGAUCCUCCACCAAGUCCCGGCUGCUUCAAAGGAAAAAUCCUACUUUCUUCAGUUAAGAUCAUAAGAAAUAUAGGGGGAGGGGGUCAGCUCUGUUUGGACAUAAUUACACUUCAUCAAAAGAAGCUUUCUUCAUCUUCCAUGCGUGAAAAGUCUGCAAGCAGUUGUCCGAGAGAAUUACGCCACAGAAAGAAGGCUGAUGCCCCAUCUGCAGAUUGCAUCGUACGUAUGAAGGCACCGCCUGUCUGCAACCCGGAGUGCCCUGAGGUGUGGUCUCAUCCAGAUCACAGGCUAAAAAAAGAAAGUCUGGUCAGCUCUAUGGGAGAACACGUUUAGGUGAAAAUUUAGAGGUCCUGACUAUAUGGAAGCCUAAAGAUGGUGUGGUAUCCAGAGCUACAUUUCCAUCUCCUUACUUUUGGCUAGACAUUCAGCUUUUAACCACACUGCGAAGAAUUAGUGAAUGCCCACUCUGCAGUGAGACCCGUGGGACAUAGGAAGCCAUCAAGAAGCUCAAACUUCAGGUGCAGAAUAAAGAUAUGUAACAGCCCGACAAACUAUCACUGACAAAUGAGUGGUAGAGACAGAAAAGACACCAAACUCCUAUUCUGUCUUGUCCCGUCUGCCAUUUUGGAAGGACAUGUUUGCCUCCUUAAUCUGCAACACUUAACCUGCGGCAGAUCAACUCAGUCAAGUAAGGAUCCAGAAUAAUCAGUCUUUGAGGCUAAUAAACAUUUUGACUGCUGCAAGGCUAGGGAUCAUACUUUUAACCAGAGUCAGCUAACUUGCAAGCGGGGGCCUCUGAUUAACGUGCAGCCUGGUAAGGGACUGUUGGUGCGGACCCUUCACGGUCAUAUGUAAAACACACCACUGUUAAUCCAUUCCCAAGACACUGCUCCAUGAUAAUAUCCUUUCUCUCAACUCACUUCCAGGAUCCUGUAUUCAGAUGAUUUCCAUCUCUCCCUCCUUCAGCUUCCAGAGAGAUGCCCUUUUGGUGACUAAGCAGUGGCUCCAGCUAGAGCAGCCCACUACUCUCUGGCAAUAGCACCCAUGUGUGCUUGCCUGUCUGGCAAACAUCCCACUGAACCUUCCUCCACUCCUAGUGCUGCUCCCGCCUUUGUCAAGAUUGCCCCAUAAGGCAAACCCAAGCAUUUGGUUCUAUGCUCCCAGUACAAUUUGCACAUACUCUCAUAAAAGCAGAUUUCUUUUAGGGUGAUAAAACAUACACUAGACCUACACUUUAGGGCUGAAUUUUCCCACCCAUGAACCCUAGCCCAACGUUCCUCCACUAUACUCUCUGUUCCAGCCAGGAAAACAACCAACCCAACAAAAAACUUGCCAGUAUUUUUUUCAUCCUUACUUUUCUCUUAGGCUGUUUCUCAAUUCCAUUCCUUCUUUAGCACUUUGUAUUCAGUCUAAAAUCCUAAAGAUUUCCUUAAAUUAUAGAAGCCACUUCCACAGCAUCCCACAGUACUCAAAUGAUCCUCCUUUCAAUGUACAUGUAUUUAUGAUCUAUCUACUGUUUUUGACACACUAGCCCAAAGCUACGAGACUCACUCCUUGGAGUCCAGAUUAUAUUAGACUGGAAACGACAUGAGGCAAGGGCCUCACCUGUCUUGUUCACUACCAUAUGCUCAGCUCCCAAAAGAGUGUCUGGCACACGCUAAGUGUUUGAUAAAUAUUUUUGAAAUAGGUAAAUGAAGGAGCUCCGUAAAGAGCACCACUUCCCACAGCCAAUGGUCUGUGAGGCUACCAGCUAAAACCCUAACAGAGAGAACCAGUUAAAGGUUAAGUCAGCAUCCCGCGAUAGCAGCCAGGAGCCUCUGUUCCAAAACUAGUUUUCUGACAGCUUUUUCUAUCCCGGAGGAGAGGCAAUCAGGCCGAAUAUCCUUUACCAGGGGCAUAUGGCUACUCUCCUCAAUCUGAGAAGUCUCCCAGGUCACGGGUAAUUUCCUUGAGAACAUGACUUCCUCCCUGCAUACUGAAUCUAGUACCUCGAGUGGCUACAAAAUAUAGGCAAUGCUGUCCUCUGGAUGGAGGCAACGUGCUUUUCAAUUUUUCGAAUUCACACUGCCAAAAAUGUGAACGUUUGAAAAUACUGAAAUAAUUGACUAUGUUUGCCAGUAUUCAUCCGAAUGUUUGACAUUUUUUACACUUAGCAUAUUGCGUUUUAACACCUGCUGUGUGGCUUUCUAUGUCAAGGUAAAUAUGGAACCAGUAAGCGUGUUAAUGAAGGCAGAAAAGUUGUAGUGUUUAGAAGAGAAUGAAUGCACCAAAAAUCAAGAGCCCCCCGGCCCUUUUGCCCACCUCUGUUACAUAUCUGCUAAGCUCUCCCACAAGUAACUUCAUCUCCAGGAACCACAGUUUUCCAACAGAAAUUGGAAAUAAUUUUUUGAAAGUCUGUAAAAUGUAGAAGAUACUAUCUAAGUAUAGAGCGUAAUUAUAAUGAUGUACUUUUUGUAAGACGAGGAGGCUAACUUCUGUUCCAAAUCCGCUGUGUGCUAAACAUAGGCUUUUACUUAGAAGCAUCCUUAAAGGGUUCAACUGAAUAUGCAAUUCUUCACUUCAUGUCCUGAGAUGUUUUUUGGUGUUGUUGAGAGAGAAAGGAUGACUGCUGAUGGGUUUCACUCCAGCCUGGCUAAAUUUCAGAAAAAAGUAAAGAAAUCUGCCCCAAUAUAAAGAUUUUCAAGAGCUCUGGGACAUUAUUAUUUUACUGCAUAUUUUUAAUAUAAUGGAUUUUUUUUUUUUUUAGUUAGAAGAAAAGGAAAAUUGAUUCAAUAUGGGAAAAUACGAAAGCAAAGAUCCCUAAGAGUGAAAUACAUAAAUCUAUUUUUCUUUGCUUAAGCAGCAUAAUAAUGGCCAUAUUAAAUACUGGUAUGUUUUACGGAUUAUAUUUAAUAACAAAACAAAUAGGUAAUCACAAAUUGUGUGAGUCUUCUGUGAGGUUCUGAGCUGGGCCUGAAAAAAUCAUGCUAACUAACACGAUGUAGUGACAACUUUUCCUGUUAUGGCUGAACUCUAUUUUAAUCGCUAAAUACAUUGGUUUUUUUCUGCUACCAAAUCAGAUUCCUAAUGUUUUACUGAGGAACAAAAGAGGGGAGGGAGUACCGUAUUUGACUUUAUAUCAAUCAGAAGUGUAAUUAUAUGUUUGAGGGUUUUUUUUUAAAAAAAAGCAGAUCUCUGAAGCUAAAGUUUCCCUUGGAGAUUCUCAACUGUGUUUAUCUAAAAGAAAACCAAAAGAAUCAAGAAAUUUUUACACAUUUCAUCUGUACCAAACCCAAGCAAUGGAAAACAUUUCAAGGGGUAGAGAGCAGUGAAAACUCGCUCUUUAACCAUUUAGGACUAAGCACGCAGGAAAACUUGUUUCCAUACUACCCGAUAUAAAAGUUCCAUUCUCCAAAGAACAAUUUGUGAUGAAACCUUAACAAUGACGUUUCUAGGUGUAUGUAAAAUAGAAAAUUUGCAAACUCAAGAAACUUCAUGAGAAAGAGGGAAGUCAUUUUGCAUCUUGAUAUUUCAGAACAGAGAAAGAAGUUCCUUUAUUUAGUGCACCUCACGAUAACUAGUAUGUAAAUCACAUGAUACGUAGCUUUUUCAAAAUGAAGUAAAAGGAUAUUUAACUCUAGAAACACUAUUGAAAUUUUGUAUGAGACUCCGUAGGAUUAAAUCUGUGAAUUACUCUGAAAGAGGGGAAUGGAGAAUUAACUCAGACCCUUAAAAUGGUUUCUGUGGUCUUAUUAUACGGAAAUUAAAAUUGCCUAUGACAUUUCCAUGGACAGAAGUCUAGUCUUAACUAAUCAAUUACUCUCACAGACCAAUAUCAUUUGGCACAUUGGGCUUGCUGCAAAAUUGAUAUAUAAUUAUUUUUCAAGAUAGAAUCUGACCAAAUCUUCCUUUGGAAUAGAAAGAGAGGUAAGGAAGUAAUUGCAAAAAGGAAAAGUUUUAUGCCUAUGGUAAUUAUUUAAAGAUAACUUUAAAUAAACUAUCAAAAAUUCCACAAAUAUUACAGCUAAUUUUUAGAAUUUAACCUAGAAUUUAGGAAAACCCAAUUGAAUUGUAGAGAAAAAAAGUAAAUACAAUAUAAAAUAUCACUUUAUAAUUUUUAAAAUAUAUGUCAAAGAGAAAUUUGAUGGGAAUUAUUUUAAGCCAGGAAUUUAGGUGCCAUGCAUCAAGCUGGGUUAGAUCAUCUAACAGUGGAUAUUUGGGAAUUUUGAAAGAAAACAAAUAGCAAUGCCAAAGGGGAGAAAAUAAUAAAAGACAUCUUACCAUGCCUGUUUUCAAAUAGAAGUUUUUAAAAAUUUUUUUAAAUAUUUAUUUUCCAUCUAAAAUUGUCUAGGUUACCUUACUAACAAAUCUUAUAUAUUCAAUCCUAAAAUUUUUAACUUUAAAUAAUUUUUACUGCAUUUAAAGACAUAACAUAAAAAUGUGUCUGCAUUCACACAACCUGAAAUCUAUUACGAUCUACGUAAUUUGCAUAACAAUUCAUAGUGGCCUAAAUAACAUUUUAACAAGUUUAAUAAUCUGUUUUCCUUUGUGUAGGUAUAACUACACUCAAAAAGACACAGAGAAAAUCCGACCCUUAAAUAUGUAAGGAAACUACAACCCACUAGUGUCAAGUAUUUAUUAGUUGCAUACUUGUUUUUGAAGAGAAAAAUGUCCAAUGAUGUUGAAAAAAUUAUUUUCAAAAAGGAAUUGCUCCAUCAUUUUGAAACCCUACUUAUGACAAAUACUGAAAGGUAUCAUUAAACAUACAGAAUUAACUAUGAGAAAUAGAUUAUAUAUCUAAAAAUGUGUUUUCUUUCUUUAACAUUGCCAGAAAAACAUAUGAUACUGGUAAAUAUGUAGUCCAGUGUUCUCUAACUUGAACCAGCACAACAGCCUUGCACUACUUUUAGUUUUAAAAUAUACAUCUGGACUUAAAAUUUCUGCAUAGUGUUUCAGCAUGGAGCUAUUUAAAGCAACUGAGUUAUGACCCCUGAACACAAGGCUUCGUGGUGGAAAGGCUGACAGACCCCUAACUGUAAGGGUGCUACUGGAUGCACGGUUGACAUGCUCCUCCACUAUUUCUACCUGACCAUUAACUAUGGAGCUUAAUUUGCAAACUGCUUUUUUGUCACUAGAAUUAUCUAGGACAGAAAAGGCCUAGGAUCCUCGAAUAGUAUCCUUUAACUAUUUUAAGCUUUCAGUGAGAUACACCUGAAAGAAAUGUUAAAAAUAUUUAUUUCCAUUUCCUUGACACCUGGGAGGACUGAACAUUUCAAAACUGCAGAACUUUGUUAAAAAUAUAAUGCUAAUAAACAACUUUAUCUAUUUUAAAGUGCACUUGUUUUUACAUUUUUAUAUGGUGAGUAUAAACGAGUUAAGUACUCGUAUAACCUCAAAACAAGAUCAGAUCUUUACUAAUACAUUACUUACAUCUUAAUACGACAGGGUGUCAACAAAAUUUUGAAGCACUAUUUUAAAUUAACAUAUCAAAACACAAUCUAUUGAAUUCAUUUCUGAUUCUCCACAGUGCCGAGCUCAGUGUCAUAGACGUAAAAUAUGGGCUCAAUAAAUAUUGUAUUGAAUACCAGACUAUCCAAGAAUUGAGUUCUCUGAGUGUGUUUUUCAAUAUAUUUACCUAUCUGCUAUUUUCCAACAAUACUAUAAUUUACAUUGCACAUAGCUCUAACUAUGACAGCCAAAUUGCUGUCAUCACUUUUAAAACUGAGACCUCUUCAUAUUUUUUCUUCAUGGCAGAUGUAUUUGAUUAUGUUGCAAAAGUGAAGAAAGUCUACUGCUCUCAGGCUUUUAUCUUGAAAGUAAGGUAAAGAGGGGCUGAUUUUACUAACGUUCAGAUGAAAAUAAAAACUGUUGUCAAAAUCCGUAUCUUCAAAAUAUCUACACCUCUUUCUCAGGAGAGACAAAGCUUCUAUACUGAGUGGCUCUCAGCUAUCAUCGGCUAUUUGAAUUUUGUUAAACACAAGCAUGCAGGGGCGAAAACACUGAGGCUCAAGUUUUAAGUUAACUCAAUUUAUUUUUCAAUUAAAAUAUACAAUUUUAUAUGUCCAUGUGUUAUCUAUGGUUUUGUUUACUGUUUCAAAGUCAAAUUACUCUGUAAUUAACAAGUGUGACCAACAGCAAAGAAAGCAAUUUGUUUUCAAAAUCAUUUUUAAAAGGUGGUAGUGAGAAAACCUAAAGACAACCAAAACAUCUGAGAAACGCUCAAACUAAAUUGCAUUCUAUCAUUAUGCCAAAAACAUCCUUUCCAUCCAAAAUACUAAUGCUCAACACCAGUUCAGCGGCAUAAACCUAAGAGUUAUACCUAAAAUAUGUUUACCAGAACACACGGAAUGUAACCUAUCAAACAUCUAAACGGUAUCUUUAAAAAUGUAGGCACCUAGCCUUUUAUUUUCACAUAUCCUGACCUGUGGCACUGCACAGACAAAACAUCUACUUAUUUGUAUUAUUUGCUGUUCUCAUUCAGGUUUUUUGUUUGUGUUUUGAGGGGGCUUUUUGCGGGGGCGGGUUGGCGGAAACAAAUUUCUGACAUAUGGCUAAUUAGAAACUUCUAGGCCCAUGGACGAUGCACACUGUAAAAGUCAUCUCUUGUAUGGAAAUUCAAAUUUCUACAACGCACAUACAUUUUGAGUUUUUCCUAUUUCAAGGAAGAAAACAUAACCUACAAAACGGGUGGCUCACAAAAAGAGAAAUGGGACGGUUAAACACACACACACAUUUCUUAAGCCAACUGCAAAAUGAAACUUGCCCCAGAAGGCAACAUCCCCUUUCCAUAACAAUUCAUCCUGAUUUCUCCUCUGAUAUAAGACCUAGCGAGAUAACCAGCUCUAAUUGACUUGGACUCCUCUUUCCACCCCACCCACACACGGAAUCUGAAUCGGUGCGUGGGGGCCAGGGGGCCGAUCAACAACUGGGAACUGCCAGUGGCCCGUGGGAGUUUGGCCCCAGGGUCCAGAAGGCAGGAACUGGCACAAUUCCUCCCUCAUUUUCCCCCUCCCCCAAGGCCUUGCUUACCCUGCUCUCCAUAGACCCCAGAACCCCGGGGACCCAGGCCCACCUUCCCGAGUUCCGAGGCCAGACAGGGCCGGAAGCGCCUUUCGGAGCGCGCUCUGCUCCCUGUCUGGCUCACCGCCCCCUCCAUCCCCGGCGUCCAGGCCAGCGAGGGAGGACAGCCCCGGAACCCGUUUC